rnacentral:lncRNA from 1 species
AUGCCUCAAGUACCGCCUCCCAGCAGCAAAGAACUGGUGGGAUCACAAACCUGCAAAAGUAUUGCACAGACAGACUACAAACAGAGGCACAACUAUGUGGCCCAAAUGAUUCAUUGGAACUUAUGCCUCAAGUACCACCUCCCAGCAGCAAAGAACUGGUGGGAUCACAAACCUGCAAAAGUAUUGGAAAAGAGCACGCAAAGAUAUUGUGGGACUUCUGAAUCCAGACUGACAAAGUUCUGGAACACAACACACCAGACAUCACAGUUGUGGAAAAGAACAAGGUUUGGAUCAUUGAUGUUGCCAUCCCAGGUGACAGUCGCAUAGAUGAAAAACAACAGGAAAAACUCAGCCGCUAUCAGGACCUCAAGAUUGAACUUCAAAGACUCUGGCAGAAACCAGUACAGGUGGUCCCGGUGGUGAUGGGCACACUGGGUGCCGUGCCAAAAGAUCUCAGCCGGCAUUUGGAAACAAUAGACAUUGACAAAAUUACGAUCUGCCAACUGCAAAAGGCCACCUUACUGGGAUCUGCACGCAUCAUCCGAAAAUACAUCACACAGUCCUAGACACUUGGGAAGUGUUCGACUUGUGAUUUUGUGAAACGAAAUCCAGCAUGUCUAUCUUGCUUGCUGUGCCAUACAACGUCGUUGUGUCAAUAAUAAUAAUAAUAAUAAUAAUAAUAAUAACAUUAUUUUUAUGCCCCACCCCAUCUCCCCGAAGGGACUCGGGGCAGCUUACAUGGGGCCUGGCCCGAUACAGCAAUCAAAUAACAAUAACAGAGCAAAACACAAUUAUCCCAAUAAAAACAUCAGCAUCAAUAAAAAAAACAAUCAUUAAAAUCAACAUGCAACAUACAGAGUUAAAAACAGGGGACUAAUUCAUAAAUCAUACUCAAUCAGAUCCUGGGUCCUCGUUGGACAAUUUAUUUAUUUAUUUAUUUAUUUACAGUAUUUAUAUUCUGUCCUUCUCAGGGCAGAUUACAAUGCACAAAUACAUGGCAAACAUUCAAUGCCAUUAGACAUACAACAUAUAGACAGAGACAGAGGCAAUUUAACAUUUUUCCAGCUUCCGGCUUCAUGAGGGUAUGCUCGAUUCCGGCCACAGGGGGAGCUGCUUCUUCUGACACCGAGUCCUUGAUGGUAGUACUUCCUCAUUCCUUUCCUCACACUGCUAGCAGUUUUUACAAUGUCAGAAAUUAGUUAAAUUAGCCUCCUCUCAUAAAGCGGUACCUAGGAUUUUCUACUCAACAGAUGCAAUUGUUUUCUGAGCUGCUUAGGUGGGCAGUGAGCUAGGCUAUUGAUGGUCAGGAGCUCAAUCCGACCUGGGCUUCAAUCCCAUGACCUCUCGGUAGUGAUUUAUUGCAGCUGGCUACUAACCAUCUGCGCCACAGCCCGGCUGGAGAAGUAAGCCACAAUGGACCACCACAAAAGUAGAAAAAUCAUGAAUGUAAAAAAUGGCGCAGUGGGUAAAACCACUAAGCUGCAGAACUUGCUGACCAGAAGGUCUACGGUUUAAAACCGCAGGAUGGGGUGAGCUCCCACUGUUAGCUUCAGCUUCUGCUAACCUAGCAGUUCGAAAACAUGCAAAUGUGAGUAGAUCAAUAGGUACCGCUCUAACGGGAGGUAGUUGUACAGCGCUCCAAGCUGUCAUGCCGGCCGCAUGACCUUAGAGGUGUCUACGGGCAAUGCAGCACUCUGAAAACAGAAGAACUCCAGACAUGAAUCAAUCAGGGGCAGCUAACGACUCUGAACAACGGAUUCCCCCAGGCCUGGAUGUGAGGCUGGGAAGGCCAUUUAAUGCUAACAAAGGUGAUUAAUUACAACAUUCACACUGGCCUCCAACAGACAAGAGUUCUUUCCCCCCACCCAGGAACUUCCACAGAUAUACAAACCUUCCUUGCUUAGUUUCUCCAUACCUCACAACCUCUGAGGAUGCCUGCCAUAGAUGUGGGUGAAACGUCAGGAGAGAAUGCUUCUGGAACAUGGCCAUACAACAACCCUGUGAUCCCGGCCAUGAAAGCCUUCGACAACCCACAUUGGAACGUUUGCUUGGCUUGGCUUAGUUGCAUUUCAUAGUUCCACGUUAUAUUCUCAUUCCUGGAGACCUCUUGGGUCCUCCUCCCGCGAAAAAAGCAGGAUUCAUAUGGAAUUCCUGCGACAAAACAGCUAUUGACUUGAAAUCAACUUGUUUUAUAGCUACACGUUUAUUUGCCCCCUCUCUCCCAGCUUUCAGAGCUUAAGAGGUAGUGCCGAAGCACUUUCUGCCGUUUAUUUCAGUUCCCUUUGUCUGAAGAGUUGAAAUUACAACGUUCUUUCAGGGCUAAUUUAGUGGUUUUCUCCUUCUCUGUUGGGCAAAUAUUGAUUUUCUAUUAGACUUUCUUUCAGGCCACAAGCCAGCUGUUUUCGUGUGGUGAAGGGAGCUCCGAAAGGAAGAAAAGACUGACCCGAACACCAAAGCUGGGAUAAACAAAUACAACCCUAGCCGCUCAUUCCAAGGCCUUCUUCCCACUGUCUCUCCAUUCUUUGAAGGGACAUCGUCAAAUCGCUGCUAAUGAAUUGGGUCAGAUGCCACAACUCCGUAACUUAUUUAUGUCUCGGCUCCAGGCCCAGGCAAGAGCUUUAUCAAUGGCUAUUGCAGGAGAGAUCAAGAAGAAAUGGCACUUGUGGCUCAUCUUUAACUCUUUUGGCCAGCUGGGCAGAUGUCAACUCUGGCCACAAAGCAGAAAUCGCCCCGGCUACUUCUAGGAGCAAAACCUCCCCAAUUCUACUCAUUAUUUCUCUACGCUGCAGUCCUACUUUUUC